GGGAUCAAGAGGAGGAGCGGAAGCGGCAGGAGAGGUGGCAGAAGGAGCAGGACCGCCUACUGCAGGAAAAAUAUCAACGUGAGCAGGAGAAACUGAGGGAAGAGUGGCAAAGGGCCAAACAGGAGGCAGAGAGAGAGAAUUCCAAGUACUUGGAUGAGGAACUGAUGGUCCUAAGCUCAAACAGCAUGUCUCUGACCACACGGGAG
rnacentral:misc_RNA from 1 species